rnacentral:lncRNA from 1 species
GUGUGUAUAUGUAGUGCCAGAGUAUAUAUGAGAAGCAGUGUUUCGUUGGUUAUUUGCAGUUGAGUGUGGUAUCUGGGUCAACCAUCAGCUGUUUCUCCAACUCAAUCUAGAUCAACGACUUCCCACUACCCAACAACAAACAAUUCACUACUGAAGCAGUAGAUUAUUACUAUUAUUAUUAUUGUUGCUGUUAUCUUAAUUAUAUAUACAUGUAUAUGUACGUUCGUAUACACACAUAUACAGGCCAUUAUCAGACACGCACCCACAGACAUUAUUCAAGUAUUGUCAAGACGGAGUUUAACCAUUUGCUUGCCGGAGAUGUUAUGUAACUUCGCUCAUGUCUUUAUUACUCUCAACAUUCGAGUUGGAUUUGAUUAAUUCUUCUUAAUUACCAGCUGUUGGUUGUGAAUUAUUAAAUCUCACCGAAUUCAUUAAUUAAAACCGUCCUUUUCACUGUUGAUUACAGGUUGGUUUCAAAUCUUUUAUUGUAAAAUUCACAAAAUCUUAUUAACGCUUAUUUUUGACGAUUCUUGUUGAUAUUAUUAGAUAUAUCAUCAUCAUUAUUGUUGUUGCUGUUGUUGUUGUUGUUGUUGAUGAUGAUGAUGAUGAUGAUGAUGAUGACGAUGUAGGGGUGACAAAAGUAGAGAAGUUGUUAGAUAAAACGAUAGUCUCUGGUGGAGAAACCUAGAUUUUCGUUUCACCAUUCAGUAAAAGAAAAACACAGCUGCCCCACCCCGCCGACCUCAGUAGAAAACAACUUCAAUCCCUUAUUAAAGGGCAGGAACCACUACGUGGUAACUUGAUCCGUUAAACAUAGCAGACAAAUGCCCCUCAAAUCUCAACCGACCGUCAUAGAAAAGGAUGUGUUGGGUAUAAUGUGGUCCAAGGUUGCCAGCACAUAGGAAGAAGGACGGGGUGGUCCUAAAUGGAAUGUUUUUGAUCAUAGGUCUGCCCGAUCGAAACUGACCUGGGGCUAAACAACUUAGUUUCUUCUUUUGGUUCCUGACAUUUUUCUUUUUCUCCUACUUUCCCUUAAUUCUCUUUUAUAAAUGGAAUUUCCAGUAGACAUGUAAUCACGAGCUGUUGAUUACCCCUGGCAUUAACACACGUAAAUUAGUGGUAUAUUUCUGGACUGACAUACAUAUUUAUUUUUCUGGAUUGAUAUCAUAUUUUCUUAUUAAUCUUCGAUAUCAUUCCUCUCUCUCUUCCUUCAAUGUUUGCUUAAUAUUAUUCACAGUUUCCACCGUCGUUAUUCGAAGUUUCGUGUUAUAUGCAAACCUGAUAUUCUGUAUUACAACUCCACGAUGAGUAUUGAGUCCUUCUCCCACUACCCUUUGUAAAAUCAAACGAUACAUACAUACACACACACACACACAUAUAUAUAUAUAUAUAUAUAUAUACACACACACACACACACAUAGAUACAGUCUUGUUUGUGUGUUUGACAAGAUUCACCAGGGUGUAUACAAAUAUACAACGUAAAAGAUGGAUUGUGUCAGAUAUCAAUCAGACUUUGCUGCCCGUUAAAAAUGCUCCUCAGAUUGGUUCCUUUUCACUGCUUUCACCUGUAAAUGUCGCUAUUAACUGGACAUUAAAUUAAUUAAAUUCUGGUGAAUUUCACGAAUUUCUUCUCCUACACUUACAGCUGUUAUUUGGCCUUCACCUUUCCAUCAGAAUUCGAUCUCUUCAAUUAAACCUGCUGAAAUAUCCUUUAGAUUUAACCUUAAUCCCUUCGUUAAUUUCACGCAAUCAGCCAACCCGACCCCGGAACAUCUCAGUUUUACCUGUGGUGAUUGUCUUUUAUUUAAGGAAACUAAAGUCGAGAUAUUUUAGAAACAAUGCAACAAUGGAGUUGUGUGUUGACAGACCCAAUAAGAAAUCUUGCGAACCAGAUACGAAAACGAACCAAGAAGAAAUGUUUUCUAAAAUGUAAUCGUUGAAGUAAUUAGCUUAUUAGAAUUGGUUCAUUUUGGUUUUAUUGAGCAGAUGUCAGUAUUAUGGUGUUUUAUGGGGUCAUCUGAGAUUGUUUUUACUCCCUUAAUUGUCAAUCUAAAAUAACAUCUAAAAAGGCCUCUGAAACAUGCAACUCCCUUACAUAGAUACGCAUAUAAAUGCAUCAUCUAUGCAUGUAUAUAUACAUGCAUUAUAUACUACAUAUACACACACAAAAAUAUAUAUACGCACACAUUCAUAUAUAUAUAUAUAUAUAUAUAUAUAAUGCAUGUAUAUAUAUAUAUAUAUAUAUAUAUAUAUAUAUAUAUAUAUAAACACAUGUAUGUGUAAGUGUGUGUGAUUGUUUUUAGAAAAUAAUUAUAAAAUUGAUUCAUUAAAAAUUAUUGAUGUUAAAAAAAACUGCGAUAGAUUAAAAUAAUGAAGGAAUUCAAUUGUUAAUCAUUCUGUUGUAAUAAUAGUUUUUGCUGCUGCUCUGUGGAAAUGGUGGCAGGUUUUUCACCGACUUUUUUUUUCUCUCUCUCUUAGAGUGAAUCUGAUACUUGCUAUUCGCUGACAACACACACAAAUUGCAAAACAUUCACAUCUAUCUAUUUAUUUAUCUAUCUGUCUGUCUGUCUGUAUAUAUAUAUAUAGUGUGUGUGUGUGUGUGUGUAUACUGAUAUGUGUGUGUAUAUCCACCUAUUGUAUAUAUAUAUAUAUCUACACAUUAUUUCUGUCACGUAGUCAUUUUUAUUUCCCUAAUUCACAAAUAUUUGGUCGAAUUAGCACAAAUCUUCUCAAGACGAUAAUCUUUCACCCCCCCCCAUUCCUCUUUGGUUUCGCUGUUCUUAUCAAAAUGUCAGGAACUAAUGUUUAAUCAUUUUUGUUCUCAUCGAAUCAUUCCGAUUUCUGAGCCAAAGAAUUGUUAGUGCCAGAAAUUAAAUAAAUGGUCGCCACCCCAACAACUCGGAAUCAAAACAGAGAAACUCACAAACCAACAGGAAAACAAGGAUCCAGACUAAUCCAUUAAAUAAUAUUUUCGCAAUUAAAACAGCCACUAACCUGUUUUCUUUUAUUUUGUUCUUUUUCAGUUAAUCGUAAAAAAGCUUUUUAAUUUUAAAUGGUUUACUUUUAAAAAUAUAUUUUGUGUAAUUAAGUGUUCAGGUUCGAUUGGUAAACACCAAAUAUCGAUUAAUGAUUAUCAAUCAAUAGUGGUCGUUGCCAAAAUUUGUUUUACCAUUUUAUUUUCCAUAUUGUUUAGCCUCAAAUCAACCCACAUAGAACAGAUCAAUGUUCAAAGGCGCUCCAGCCGUGACCAUCUCAUCUUUGUACAUAUCAGAGACUAUACCGUCCAACCUAUCAUUCGAGGGGGGAUUGGCUGCUAUUUCUGGCUCGUCAUUUCGUUUUGGUUCUGUAUAUAUGUCUGAUUCCAUUCAUGACUGUCCUGUCUGUUUUUGGAUAUCUGGGAAUGUAUUAUCCAAUAUAGACUUCCAUUUAUUUAAAAUAUGGUACGAAGUCUUCUGUUGUAAUUUUCUUCGCGUUUUGUGUACAUUAUAGAUAUGUGAUUAGUAUUUUAUUCCAUCAAUUCCCGGAAGCAUGACAUGCAAAAUUAGCUCGGUGCGGUUCGAAAUCAGAACUUAAAGGGCCAAACUAAAUACCACAAGUAUUUUGUCAAACCAUUUCAGUAACGAAAGGAGAUUUGGCUGCUAUUUCUGCCAGCAGACACCUUGUCAGCCUUCUCUCGUUGAUCUCUCAUAAGAUCUUCUACUUCAGUGUUGCUGGCUUUGUUUACCAUCGCCCUUCUCCAUCCUCUUUCGCAUCAAACAAUAAAACCGUGUUUUCGUUUGCACUUCACAUUCUAAAUAUUAUUGACAAAUAGAUUUGUUUAUUCGAAGUAAGUGUUAAAUUUGGAAGAUUCACACAGAUUGUACAGUUUUCGAGUUCAGUGACGUGUGAGUGAGCGGAGUAGAUGAAACAAGAUACUCCUCGUCAAUGGAUGUUAUUGUGUGUGUGAGUGUAAUAUACACUCAAAUAAAUAAAUACAUGUAUACAUAUAUAUAUAUAUAUAUAUAUAUAUAUAUAUGUAUAUACGCACAAAUGCAUUGAUAUAUUGGAGUUUACAAACGGAGAAAAAGUACUCAAUACAUAUAGUAGAGUAUACAUAUUUUAUUUGAAGGUAAAACUUCUUGAAGCGUUACUCUGAGUUUCACGUUUCCGAUUGUUCAAACGAUUGAUGUAAAUAAAAUCGUUUGAACGUAAUCUGAUAAAAUUAUGUGCGAUUUAGUUUGUUUUGCAAGAUUAUUGAUGUGACUAUGUGUGUUGGAACAUGUUGAUAUUCAUUGGGUGGGUCAUUUUAUCUUUAAGAAACACACGCACUAGUUCUUUUUCAUUCUGUUUUUGAUAUAAUUAGCCAACUAAUGACUCCCAAAAUGCAACACACACACAUAUUGUGUGUGUAUGUUAUAUUGAACUUAGAUGAUUUUCAACACUACAUAUAUUUUGUUCUUAUUUCAAAGUUAUGAUGUUAAGGCCUAUAUGCCCUUCCUCCUGAACAAACCAAAGGAAAAUAAUGCAGUAUUUGUGAGUGAAGGGACAAACCCAUUGCCAUGAUAGUCUUAUAGAUUCUCUGUUGCUGUUAUUCCUAAUUUGGCUGUAAAACAUCUCUCCCCGCUUUCUCCCUGAUUCUCUACUAUUAUCACUUUUGUAACCACAUAGUCUAUUUUGUUUUAUUAUUACAAGAGGAUAGACUGACAGAAUUGUUAUGCGUCGGAGAAAAUACUUUACUAUAUUCCUUCCAGCUCUUCACGUUCUGAGUUCAAAUUCAGCCAAGAUCAACAUGAACUUUUGGUGUCAAUGAAGUACCAGUCAUGUUGUAAGGUCGAUAGUAUUGCCUAAUCCUCGACCUACAAAUUUCUGGUCUUCUGCCCAUGUUAGAAACAGUAAUCAUUAAUGCUUUAUUUUGCUACUUUCUUCAUUUCAUUUAACAAACAGACAUUUUGCACAUUGAUGCUAAUGAUUCCAUAUCUAUCUCUUUCUGUCUGCUGUCUGUCUGUAUAUGAGUGUGUGUG